rnacentral:rRNA from 1 species
ACUGAACGCUGGCGGCAGGCUUAACACAUGCAAGUCGAGCGGGGUGAUGGUGCUUGCACUAUCACUUAGCGGCGGACGGGUGAGUAAUGCUUAGGAAUCUGCCUAUUAGUGGGGGACAACAUCUCGAAAGGGAUGCUAAUACCGCAUACGUCCUACGGGAGAAAGCAGGGGAUCACUUGUGAUCUUGCGCUAAUAGAUGAGCCUAAGUCGGAUUAGCUGGUUGGUGGGGUAAAGUCCUACCAAGGCGACGAUCUGUAGCGGGUCUGAGAGGAUGAUCCGCCACACUGGGACUGAGACACGGCCCAGACUCCUACGGGAGGCAGCAGUGGGGAAUAUUGGACAAUGGGGGGAACCCUGAUCCAGCCAUGCCGCGUGUGUGAAGAAGGCCUUAUGGUUGUAAAGCACUUUAAGCGAGGAGGAGGCUCUUUUGGUUAAUACCCAAGAUGAGUGGACGUUACUCGCAGAAUAAGCACCGGCUAACUCUGUGCCAGCCGCCGCAGUAA